UACGGAGGGUGCGAGCGUUGUCCGGAAUCACUGGGCGUAAAGGGCGCGUAGGCGGUUCGUUAAGUCGUUGGUGAAAUCCCGGGGCUCAACUCCGGGGCUGCCGACGAGACUGGCGGGCUCGAGCACGGUAGAGGCAGAUGGAAUUCCCGGUGUAGCGGUGGAAUGCGUAGAUAUCGGGAAGAACACCAGUGGCGAAGGCGUUCUGCUGGGCCGUUGCUGACGCUGAGGCGCGACAGCGUGGGGAGCAAACAGG
rnacentral:rRNA from 1 species